UUCCCCGAGGUGGUCUCCAGCAGCACCCGACCCCAGACCCCAGUCCCCAUGGAAGGACACUCCUUCACCAAGAUGUCCUCCAGUCCACCCAGGAACAACUGUGUCUGGCCAGGAAUCUCCUCCAACCAUCUGAAAAUGACCUCGUUUUCCUCACAGAAGAGCAAGCGUCAGAAGAAGUACCGUAGUGUGAUAUCGGACGUGUUUGACGGGACCAUUGUCAGCUCAGUGCAGUGUCUGACCUGCGAUAGGGUGUCAGUGACGCUAGA